UCCAUUAGUUAACCAAGAAAUUUGGAAGAUUUUGGACAAGAAGGCCCAUGGGCAGGAUAAAAUUCUUGUUGACAUUCAGAAUUUGGCAGCCAUAGGUUUUGCGCCAAUUAUCAGAUUAGCAGAAGUUUUCAAAGGACAGAUAUCAUGUAAUUCUGAAGUUAAGUUGUUGUUGUCAGAUGCUCUUACAGUUCUAGGACAAAUACAGUAUAAUUUAUCUGUCCGAAGACGAUAUAUGAUCAGACCUGCACUUAAGAGGAAGUAUGCUGCAUUGUGUCAUAUGUCAAUGCCAAUCACUACAAAACUUUUUGGCGAUGACAUAUCUAAGGAAGUAAAGAACCGUGAAUCUUUUGCAUAUCUUGGUAGAGACUCUGUCAGAGGUACAGGCUUUGUAAGAAGUAGUAAUCGGAGCAGAUUUCCACGUAGAAGUUACGGUGGUUCUUAUGGUUAUCAGGCACAUCCUAGUAGAUACCAGCCAUAUCCGCAGAGAGGGCAACAGUAUAGACCAUAUUCUGCUAGGUCUAGGCCUGCAAGAAAGGCUCCAGUGGCAACAGUUACAGCCCCAAACGGGCAGGAAUAAAUGCAACAUCUUGUAUUACCAAGGCACAGAGAUCUGCUCAUGAUGUCACACAGCGGAGAAGUACACCCAUUGGGAAAGAAACUGAAGAUCAUCACAGCCAUUGUCUCAGGAAAGCACUCCAAAGUAGAGGCCUUUCAGCAGAUGUUGCAAAGUUCAUCCUUCAAUCUUGGGCAGCAGGGACCCGUAAGCAGUACAGAUAUGCAUGGGAAAAAUGGUAUUUGUGGAAUGAUAUCAGGUUUAGUGAUCCCUUUCAUUCCUCUGAAGCAACAGUGAUUAAUUACUUGUAUUCUUUGAUCUUGACAGGUAAAUCAUAUUCAGUUAUCAACACCCACAAAGCGAUGUUAUUGCAAACGCUGCCGUUUUUUGGAAAUUCAUGGUGUGGUAAUGUAACUCUGAUUACGAGAUUUAUGAAAAGUGUUUUCUUACAGAAACCACCUAAACCAAAAUAUUUAUUUACAUGGGAUGUUUCCAUUCUGUUACAGUUUUUAAGGUCUCUGAUGCCUUUGGAUAAACUGUCACUUAAAUUGUUGACUUUCAAAGUUGUUGCCUUAGUAGCGUUAGCUACAGCUCCUAGGGCACAGACUCUAAUUUCUAUGAAUUUAGACAAUAUGAUAAAAGAACAACAGGCAGUUGUUUUUUCAUUUUCUAAUGUAUUGAAAGCUUCUAGAAUAGGUCAUUCUUUUGUUUUGAAGAUUGAACACUUUCAGGAUGAAUCGUUAUGUGCUAUGCACACCCUUUUGCAUUAUAUUGACGUUACAUCUAAACACAGAUUAAGUAGAAGUGUUCUAGUAUCAUACAAAACUUAUAAAGCUGUUUUAAGUAGUACAGUCGCACGUUGGCUAAAAGAAGUACUUAGCUUGUCUGGUAUUGACUCUAGUAUUUUUAAGGCUCAUUCAUAUAGAGGAGCAUCUACGUCUGCCGCUUUUAGCAAAGGAUGCUCAUUAAAAAACAUCUUAGAUACGGCUGACUGGAAGACUGAUCAAAAUUUCAGAAAAUUUUAUUUUAGGCAUGCACUGAGUAAAAAUCAUAUUUCUUUUACAGAUGCAGUGUUUAAAUAAUUUCACAUAGCAUAUAUUAUUUGUGGAGAAUAGGACAUUGUGUUGCAGUGGCACAGAGGGGAAGUUUUUAUAACGUAGACAGUUUUUGAAAUUACUCAUUAGUGGUAGUUGAAUAUUAUGUACUUUGUUGUAUUAUUGAUUUCCGAGGGUAUUAAUAAUGAUAAAUUGGUUGUUUGAUUUUAUCUGUUUUGUUGCCUUUGAAGAUGCCAUAUAUACAUGCGAAAGCCAAAGGCUUUAUGAAAAUAAUGUUCCCUCAUCCAAGCUUUAGUGUAGGAUG
rnacentral:misc_RNA from 1 species